rnacentral:lncRNA from 1 species
UAAGCUUCUUUGAAACCUCUCUCAUUUUCUUUGUAUUUUCACUAACUUGUUUUGAUUGGUUCAGUUGGAGCAUCAUUUUGUGGCUUUCAUUAAUUCAAUAAGAGAAGCAAAGUAGAAGCUUGCCGAAGUACAAGAGAAGCUGAAGAUUGUAGAAGUCAAAGCCCAAACUCAGGCCAAGUCGGCCGAACACCUGAGCGAGGAGCUGGAGAGGGCAAAGGCAGAUAAGACCAAGGUAGAUGAGGGAAGAAAGAAGGCCAACACUGACUUAGCUGUGGAAAAGGAAAGAUGCCAAGUGGCAUAGGCUAAAGUCCUUAA